GACGAACGCUGGCGGCGUGCUUAACACAUGCAAGUCGAACGGACAGACCAUGCUUUUGUGGGUUGCUCGUGUGGCGAACGGGGGAGUGACACGUGAGUAACCUGCCCUUGACUUUCGGAUAACUCCAGGAAACUGCGGCUCAUACAGGGUAGGAGCUCCUGAAGCAUGGGGGGGGUUGGUAAGUUUCGGCGGUUGGGGCUGGUCUAGCGGCUUAUCAGCUUGAUGGUGGGGUAGUGGCUUACAAAGGCUUUGAUGGGUACGCGACCUGAGCGGGUGGUCGGCCACCCGGGAGGUGAGACAGGCACCAGACUCCUGCGAUACGCAGCAGACGCGAAUCGUACGCAAUGGGGGAGAGCCUGACACAGCAACGCGGAGUCAGUGAUGACGGCCCUCGGAUCGUGAAGCUCUGUUAUUAGUGGAGAACAAAUGUCUAAUUAACCGUGCCGGUAUUGACGGUACCGGGUCAAGAAGCCCCGGCUAACUACGUG
rnacentral:rRNA from 1 species